rnacentral:lncRNA from 1 species
UUUUUUUUUUUUUUUUGCAAAACACACAUCACACUUACGGCGCAAACCAACACAUUGUACGUGCCCUUAUAAUUGUAGGAAUUGCAUCAAAUGAAGCAGUGCGGAACUAAAGAUGGCAAAAUAACGUGCUGUACUUUAUUUAGCAGGAUUAUCUUAAAUCAAACUACAUUGCGCUUUGGUGGUGUGUCCGGAGAAGAUGACUUGUGUUAUCCAAGUUGCAAACCCAUACAAGUACGCAUGCAAUUUAACACCUGCCAUAAAGUCUCCACGGCCGGUGGUACCGCACCUAAUUGUUCUUGUUCAAUGUCCAGCACCCAACGAACCACUCGUCCACUCCAAACUCCAUUUCCGGAAGUUCGUACACGCAAGACCUGCCAAAAACCGCGGAGAGGAGGGAAACCGUCCCGCCAAGAGCCAAGUUUCGCCUCCGGGCCCCGCCCCACCCCCGCACGAUCGGACGGCGGCACCGGCGCGCUGCCGCCCCCAUCCGGCCGUCCGUGGUCCGGGGCAUAGAGCGCCCGUGUCGCAGCGGGGGCAAUCAUUUGCCCGCGCCAGGGGCACGGAAAUGACCGCAGCGCCCCCGCGCGUGUCGUUUUCCGGCUGGCUACUGUAGCGGUCAAGGCCGUCCGGUCCCGCGGGGCCCGACCGGGGGCGCUCUGGGUAAAAGGCAAACGUCGCCCGCCCGCCCGAAGGACCUCCGUGUGGGCUGAUCUGAUUUGUUUGUUUCAGUCUAAUAGUCAUUUCGAUCCAUUAAAAAGUUUGAUGCACAUCGGAUAUUUGCACACUAAUUAGGAGUAUUAAAUAUAAUCUAUAAUUAGGAGUAUUAAAUAUAAUCUAAUGAUAAAACUAAUUGCAUAAAUGAGGACUAAUUCGCGAGACGAAUCUAUUAAGCCUAAUUAGUCCAUGAUUAGCCCAUGUGAUGCUACAGUAAACAUGUGAUAAUUAUGGAUUAAGUAGGCUUAAUAGAUUCAUCUCGCGAAUUAGCCCUCGUUUAUGCAAUUAGUUUUAUAAUUAGUUCACAUUUAAUCCUUCUAAUUGGUAUCCAAACAUCCGAUGUGACCCGAACUAAAAAUUAGUCCAUGGAUCCAAACACCACCUGAAAUGGUAGCAGGGUGAAGUAGAAAUAGCUUUUUUAGAAUAACAUGUACCGUUCGUUGCAAUAUUUUUUUCUUGCAUGCUGGCACCGCUAACAGUGGUUGAGCAUCUUCCCUGGAUAUUGAAACUGACUCAGUUUAUUUCUUUUUUCCAUCCAGCCAUUUCUCGCGUGUUUUCUUUUUUGUUUUGUCUUCCGUUCGCUAUUUGCUUCAUUUUAUUUCGGUGUGUUUUCUUUCUUUUUUUUCUUUUCAUUCUUUUUUCAUAUUUUCUUCUGUUCUUUUCCUUUCUCAUACGGGGGACUUUCUUUUUUACUUGUUUCUUUUCUUUGCAUGGCAACGUGAGGCUAAUUUAUAUUAUAAUCUGCUUUGCAAGUUCACACAACUCUAUUUGACCAUUUUUUCAUCUUUUUCUACAUUUCUUUCCUUUUCAUUUUCAAUCCAUUUCACUUCUUUUUUAUUUUUCUACUAUCUUUUCCCCUUCUUUCUCUAAUUUGUACUUAUAUGUAUUAUUCAUUCAUUCAUACAUUCCCACGAUAGGAUUAUGAACUUUUCCUAUUUUUUCCAUUUUCUAAACUAGAAAACACAUGGAUAUUUUUCUAUUUUAUUUCUCUUCUUCCUCCUUUAAUCUUCCUGUGACGACCGCCCCCUAAUCUACCGAGUUAAUCUUAAUCGGAGCCCUUGAUCACAAGUCAUCUACCUGGUUCUUACCGCGCCUGAGUGCUCAGCCUUCAGCCGAUCCCAACCCCGGAGACCCGACCUCUCUCCGUUUCGCUCCCCUCCCGACCCCGGCGAGCUUAGCCCACCGUCGGAUCCUUCUAAAUCUUCCUCAAACGUCUGUUCUAUCCACCGGUGGACCCGCGAGAUCUUUUUCCCCAGAUCCUCCGCGAUAGGCGCACUCGAGUUGCAUGCCCGCUUCAGAGUCUCCCUGCCGCGUGGCUCGUCUUCUCCGACGCCCGCCGCGCAGUUUUGUCUCUCGCUCGCGACCAAGUGGGUUCUCGCGCCCCCUUCCCCAAUGGCAGCCGAAGCCCCUCUGCAACCUUUAUGAAGAGCUUCGCCUCCCGCGCCCAUCAUCACGCCGCCAGAUCCCGACCCCAGAGCCCGAUGUCGCCCGUCUUUUCCGUCACUUCGACCACAGUCGCGCCGCUUGGUCUCCGCUACACGACGAUCCCUCCAUCGCCAACCCCGACCGUGGCAGCGACAGCUCCUUUCCCCGCCCUGUCAGAAGCCGCCCGACAAUCUGUUGCUCCGCGCUCGCCCGCGCGCCCGCGGCUGCCCGUCUUCUCACCUGUGCGCCCUCGAUUCUAGCGCCGUUAAACCGGUCGCUUCUAUCACGUCUUCCGCACGACGACGCCCGCCUUCCGCCAAAUCUCAACCACCGGUCUACCCGCUCCUACGCCGCCCUGACGGCAGAACCCAAUGCCCGCUGGCGACACCCCCGGAGUCCUGCACCACCGCCCUCGUCGCUCAAUCGCCGCCCCAGCAGAGCACUCCAUUGCUUCUCCCCGGCCUUCGCGCCGCUCCCCUUCUCUCUCUCUCUCCCGCACUGCUUCCUUUCUCCGCUCCAGCAGCUAUAAAAGGAAUGCACCAGUCGCCGGAGUCUCCCUCCGCCAUUGUUGCCUUAGCCAUUCUCUCGCUCCCUGCUCAAGCUCCUAGCGCCACCCGCCAAGUUCUUGAGGAGCUCUUCUCUCAGAUUCUCCCUUAAUUUUCUCCAAGUCGCCCAGCCGCUUGCCCCUCCGUGCUGCGUAAAAGCUUACUUGUGAUCUGCAAGAAGCACCGCCGCCGUAGCAUUCCCAGUCUUAGCCUUUGUUCGAAGCCUUAGUCCCUCCGCCCAAGUCUGCCUCCUUCCGACCCCCAAAGCUUUCCUUUCAGGAAGAAGGUGAGUUGCCGACCCCAGUCCGCUUCGCCCGAACCCUCCUAUCCGCCCGACCUCGGUUCCGUCUCGCCCGACCCUGUCUGUUUCGCCGACCCUUAUCCGCCUCGCCCGAGGGUUCGGCUAUGAUCUUUUCCUUCCACCCGAGGGUGUAUGUGUAAAAUUUAGGAACCCUUCAGCGCUUGCGUCUGAGGAUUCCUAGUAUAUCACAUCCUCUAGUUCAAGGAUCAGAUCAUAAGUUCCUUUCCGACCCUUGCCUCUUGAUCAUCACCCGCUCCCUUGAACCUCCCCACCCUCCUGCUCUUUGUCGUGAGUUUCUGGGCUCAGGCGAGCCAGUGUUGCUGUUGAAAUAACCGUCUAUGCUAACUUUUGCAUUGCAUUCGUGUAGAGCUGCACCUCGCCGACGGCUUCUACGAGCUACACCCAGCGCCAGAAGAAGAAGCUGUAGCCGAGCUCCUGCCCGCGGAAGCCGAAGUCGCCCCAGAAGUCGAGCAGUUUCCUUCCUCUUUGCUCGAAGGCAAGCCCCGGUUGCAUGAAAACCCUAUGUGUUUUACCAGACUUGCGCAUGCCUUCUGUAACGUGAUUGUGCAUCUACGUAUAGGAGUUGCUUGAAACCCUAGAUGCAUGACUUAGUUAUCCUCAUGAUCUGAACACUAGUUGUUGGACCAAGUAGCUGCAUUGCUUAACUAGGAGACGGUAAAAGUUGAGUGAUCUCCUGUCACUCGCGAGUUGUAGGAGUUGCAUGUCUACCCUUUCUGUUAUAACUAUAAGGACGAUGGACGGGGCAGGGUUUUGGUAACUCUUUGGUGGUCGGAUGGUUGCCCCGUCUGUCUGUGAAAUCUGCUAAGGCCCGACAGUGGUGGUGUUCGUGAUCAAGUGUUUGAAAGUAAUAGCCUCAUACUUAGUAUGGGAUGAGGAAGCCUAGUACCGGAUUGAACCUAGACGUGAGCGGUCGCCCCAUUGUUCUUGGAACGGAGUUUCCCCUGCUGGUUGUCGCACGUGGUGGCAAGCGUGGUCACAAGACGGCAGAGGCCGGGUCUGUGGAACCUUGCACCAAAGGAAAUGGGCUCGACACGGGUUGGGGGAUUGAUGGGGAAGGCCGACACAGGAAGCGACCUCCGGGUGCGCGGAUGUCGUGAGGCUAGGUUCACCAUGCAUGGUUAAAGAACUCGAAUCGAUUCGUCUGCCUCUCACAGCUUGAGAUUGCUUGAUCGCUAUGUCACCCUGAGUAAAUGAGGAAUCUGAUGAUGGCAAUGUUUGUUGUUAUAUCUACAACUCUUGUUUGGUUCUAUGAUUGCUUAGAAUAGGUGGCAAAACCUAGACUGGUAAAUGAACCUAGAACCGGAGCUAAAACUUGAAAAUAGGGUUUUACUUAGUGCUUUUGGCAAACAAAACCCUCAGCCAAAAAGCCCUGCAUGUCUAGAAUAAGGAGUAGUGUUACUCCUAUCGGUUAAGUCUUGUUAAGCUUAGUAGCUCAGCCUUGUUGUGGCUCCUGUUUUUCAGGUGAAGUUGCUGCUCCCGACCCCUCUCUUGCUGGCGCUUGGCCGCCCCAACUCCCGCCGGGCUGGACGGUCGAGUGGGAUCCCUCCUCGGACGGCGAGGAGAGGAAUCAGUGAUGUCCCGGCUGGCCUCACCAGGACACCCGACCCCGACGAAGUCUUCCGCUAGUGUUUUCUUCUGUUGUUUCUUUGAACCUUGUAAAACUCUGAUGUUGGUUUUUAUGGCCGAACCAAAUGGGUAAAUCUGCCUAACUCAUUGGACUCGUUGUAUUCUCUGGAACCACUCACCCUCGUGUGGGUUUGCUAAACUCGAUCCUGUUUAAGUGGUUAAAUCGGAUGAAAUCCGACAGCACUUCGUGCUAACUCGGUUUAGGCAGGAGUGUCGCAUGUUAGGCGGCUUAACCCUGCUUAAUCAAGCUAAUCCGAAGUGGAUCCGCCACACUUCCAUUUCGCUUAGCCUUUCCUUACUAUAAAUACUUCUUUUCAAUUUUCAUUCUAUUUGUUAUUCCAUUAUUUAUUUAUUUUAUUAUUUAUCUGCUUAUUUCAUCUUUUGUGUAGUUUCCAAUCUGCCCUUUCUUCCUCUAUUAAAACUAAUAUUUUACUUUCUCGUAUAUUAUAAUAACAUGCCACUUAUACUAUUUUUAAUCUUCAUAUGUGAUUCCUUUUGUGUUUCUACUCUAGCAUACACCAACUUAUUUGGGAUCGAAAAGGUUUUUAUGUGCAAAUAUUUUGUUCCUGAUGCUCAAUCUUUUUGUUCGCAUUAUACUUUUUUGUUCAUCAUGUUUAAUUUUUUAGUUCGCAGAAAUAGUCAUUUAUCCGCAGAGUCAUAACUAAUUAUCCUGCCACCAAUAAUAAUGAUUUUAUUUUGUGAGUUCAUAAAGUUUGUUCUAGAUAUAUAUAUUUGAGAAAAAAUUCAACUUGGUAAAAAGUUAAUAAAAACAUUUAUCCAAAUAUACUAAGUGGGUCUUCUUUUGAAGAUCUUGUUGUGAGAAACUUACUGGUGGAAUCGGAAUUUAAUUUAGAUGUAGGAUUCUGUAGAUUAUUUUAAUUCAAACUUUCUUUGCACGUGGGGAUCAUGUCAUUAAUGGUCAUGUCAUCAAUUCUGUCCUCUAUGGCAUUCCAAGCAUGCAACGAUUAUAUUUGUUUUUUAGUUUGUAUAAUUUAUUUUAAGGGUAUACAUUUUUUUCUUCGAAUUUAUAUAUUUUGUCCGAUGCGUAGAUUGUUUUGUUCCGUGAGUUUGUAGAAUUUGUUUUACGUGUAUAUGUCUCACAGAAAAUGUACAACCUUGAUUAAAAAAAUAUGAAUAAAAAAGUCCAUCCAAAUUUAGUCAAGUGGGAUCUUACUGUAAUGCUUUUAUUGUCACAAAUUCAAUGGUGCAAUCGGAAUUUAACUUUGAUGCUCGAUUUAAGAUUUAUAGUUUUUUAAGUUUCAAACGGGUUUACAUGUGGGAUAAUAGCAGUUUUGUCUUUUCUUGUAUGCACUAAGCGAUAAUCAACAAUGCUGAAACAGUGUAGGGAAGUAACAAACCGUGUUGAAUUAGUCUAAUUAAUUGGGCCGACACACGGUUCAUGAUUUCUACUCACAGAGCGCGUUCAGCUGCAGCUAGCCGCGCCGGUCGCCGCCGGGAGCUAUCAGCUAUCGGUCCGGCCGGCGACGCGAGGCGAGCGAGGUCGGAUCCGGGCCGUACGUACGAAAAGGACGGGAUGCUGGCAUGUUUGGGACGUGAUGAGACAUGCCUCCCGGUGCUCCGUUAGGUGUGUAUACGGUCCUGCUUGUCGUCUAGCGUCUCGGAUAGUGACGGGAUAACGCGAGCAGCUAACGCAUGUGUUAUACGAACAUGGGCCAGGUAACCUUUACGGUUCAUCACUGGUGUCUUCCGGCGAUUGUGUGUGUUAGAGGCAGUAAACUGCAGCUUGGUGAACGGUAACUACUGAACAGUGAUUUCUGGUGCCUGAUUCGGCGACAGGAUUUUGUAAUGACCUUUUCGGCAGGUGGCGCGUAGUACUAGCCGUUGUGACGACGCCGCAGCUAGCAGGUGAGCAGGAGCCAAAAGAUGGUGGCUUCCCGUUUUGCAAGCAACGACGACUCGACGAUGGGGGUGGGAGUGGAGUGGCAGCAUUUUGUUGCAGGGGCUGCAGCCUGCAGGCAGCGCCAUGAUGAGCAUGACUCGCCCGUCGGUUACUUUGAUGCAUGGACUUGCAUAUGCAUGGCGACGCUGCGGGGCGCGGGGGCCCACGGGAUCCCUGACCCUGCACGGGCGACAGCGGCGGCGAGGGCCCCGGCCGCGAUCAGGCCAUCAGGGUCAGGGCGGAUGCUUGCUCUACGCUAGGGUUCCGUCAAGCAUGGCCGCCCGCUCGCCACCACCCCGUUCGUUCUCCUCUGAUCGUUUCGUUCAUUCAUUCACCCAUCACCUGCCGCUGGCAGGUCGCAGGUGCCGGUGUCGCUGCGGCCCCCGAACCGCAGGCGGGGCGUCGUCGUCGCCGCCGCUCGUCGGCGCGCGACGCGACACGCCAUACCGCGGCAGCUGCCCCGCCUGCGCGCGUGACCAUGCACCCGGGUGAAUGAUACGGGCGGAUGGGAGGGUGUUUGAUUCCACUCACUCAAGUUUGUAUCACAUUAAAUGUUUAGAUACUAAUUAGAAGGAUUAAAUAUGAGCUAAUUACAAAAAUAAAUUGCACAGAUGGAGGCUACUACGCGAGACGAAUCUAUUAAGCCUAAUUAGUCCAUGAUUUGACAAUAUAAUACUACAGUAAAUAUGUGCUAAUCAUGAAUUAAUUAGGUUUAAUAGAUUCAUAUCGCGAAUUAGAUUUCAUCUAUGCAAUUAUUUUUACCAUUAAUCUAUGUUUAAUACUCCUAAUUACUGUCUAAACAUUUGAUGCGACAUGUACCGAACUUUAAUUCGUGGAACCGGACACCAUCUAUAGCCUAGCGCAUCUGGCCUGCGCGCCCAUUCUGCUUGGCAGGCCGACCCGUGGGCCACGCGCUUUUCAGAGUCCCCGACCCGACCCCAAGCGUCCUGUGUACUCCGGUUCCCGCGACGGAGUGGGCGAGUGGCCGUGGCAGUGCCGGUGCUCUUGGAUCGCCGGCUCGGUCGCUCGGGAACUCGUGACCCGUGAGCCGCGCGUGGAGUUGGUGCGGUGUCGCCGUGGCUUCGCUGCCCGCGCCGCGCCGCGUACGUCGCCGUGGCCGCACUAGAGCUGGCACGCCACCGUCGCCGCUCCCGUUUUGUCGGCAUCGCUAGCGGCUAGCGUACUCCCCGUUUCCCCGCGGCCUCACACUGUCACACAAGUGUAGUCACGUCAAGGGCCGAUCGGUAAUCAGCUGCCACGACGCCGCCAUGUACUCCGGGUUGUCUGCGGUCGACAAGAUCGAUCCGGGUCGUUAUGCCUAGCUAGCCUAGGCUGCUACUACAAAAGCAGUAGCCUUUCCCGCAGGCCUACGCGCCACAUCCUACCAGGCUACUACCUAGCCUAGGCCUGGCACCGGCCGGUCCGGGUCCGGCCCCAGGUAAACUGGACGGGACGGGGCGGUGCAUCUGGGAAUCUGGCUGGUGGCUGGUCAGGCCGACGCCGAGGCGGCGAAUAUUUUUGUGCUCACAUCCACGCAUGUGAGAGUGAGCGAGCGAGGGAGCUCGGUCCGCCCGACCCCGACCGGUAAACGAGAUGCGCCUGGCUCCCUCUGCACCUCUGGGUGGUGGACCCGCCGCCGCGGGCUGGGCGCCUGCGUCUGCGCCGCUGCCCCGCUCUCAAAAGGUGCGGCCAGGCCUUUUUGACGCCGCCGCACACGGCGCACCCAGCCAGAGCCGCCAAGGCCGCCGAUUCGGUCCGUGGGACGUGGGCGGACCACGGCCCUUCGUUUUCAUUUUUUGCUUCCCGAGUUUUUCUCUGAGGUAUCCGGCUCAUGGAUAUGCACAUGCGGAAACUAGCGUGCUCCUCCGUGAAUGCCCGCGCACAGGUCUCCUACCUGCCUGCUGGUCCGGUAUCACUCAACAAUGCUGCAGACGACGAGACAAGAUUAAUGACAUUUGUGCGCCAUGUACGGCCGUGGAUCGUCGACUCCUCUUUUUUCCUUGAGCUAGGUAUGGUCAGAAGAAGGGAUACUACCUCCUGUUCAUCAUAUUUGACAUCGCGGACAGCAAUUUUGGCCUACAUCCCGUUCAGUUUGCUGGCAACUAAAAUGAAUCGGAGGUAAUACUUCUUAAACAUUUAGAUCAUGAGUGGUUACUUCAAAAUGUUAAUUUCAAAAGGUCUUAAAUUUUUUUAAAAAAACGCAUACGGUUACUGAAUGCGGGUCACUUUGAAGUUUGAAAUCUAACGUCAAAUAAUAAAGGGUCUCAAGCCUCAAAGGCAUUCACAAGGAUGUACGUGGACAUCUUAUACUUGGACUGUGUUUUGCAGAACGAAUAGGCCGAUGCCGUUGUAGACUUGUAAUUGUGCAGCUAAGCGCUUCGCGGAUCUUACCCAUGGUAACAUGGAUCAGCUCUAAUUUAACAAACGGCUGAUCAGCCGGUGAUGAUGGAUCGACCGAUUGUUUUUUUGUUUCAAAUUGGAUUCAACAGUGGUCUGUAGUCUAAACCACUCUAGACUAGGUAUCCACAAAUCUUAAUUAACACCCCACCUAUUGUCGAUGCAUGUGGCGCUGGUAGCAAACUUACCUGUAGUUUAAACGGUGAGUGCCAUCUCAUGGAUGCAGGAUGCUCUCACCUGCAUCGCCGUACACGCUCCUGCCGCGUGUCGGCGCUGUUGCAGUUUUUAUAACCAUGUGCCAUCGCUCUUGACGGCGGAUAUACUACUGCAUGUAGUGGUAAGCGCUAAUCAGGCUGGUGAUGAAGCAGCCAACAAAGCAAAGAUAGCAUAGUGGUCAGGAGCCUGUGGCCUGUUCGUCCAUGUGCCAUGUGAUAUCCAGCCUCCCGUUCGGCAUGUUCCCAGGCUUAAUAUAGUGGGGAAACUUUGUUAAGUGUCUUGCUUAUCAGUAACACACGGUAUUUCAAAUGGGAUGGGCUCACGGUCCUGUCCGGCGUCGCACCAACCGCUCAAAGGGCGCGGCAGGCCCCCCACCCGCACAGUGCGCGCAGCAGAAGCAGCGGCCAGCCCCUGCAGCAGAGGGAGCAGCAGUGAAGUCGCCUACCGUGUGACCGGGUCCCGGUCGUCAUGCACGCACUGUGCUCGGCUGGCCUGGCCGGCUCCACGAACAGCACUGCAUGGUGAGGGCCCAGCGACGUACGGCUAGCGUUUUAUGCAUCGUCGUCUGCGUGCACGACGGCGCGACCGGUCGUGUCCGCUGUUACGAAUAAGGAGGCGCGCGCCGUCUUUUUCUGGGCUGCAGUACACUAUACGCGCUGCUGUGUUCCCGUUUCUUUCCCCAAGGAUCGGGCGCGUGUACCGGUGUACGUACGCGCUGCGUGCUCUGGUAGCCAGCUGCUGUCUCGUACCGAUUCACAGUGCUGCGGCAGGCGCCAGGGGGCCGUGCCCAUGCAAAAGUAGUGCUGUUACUACUGUGUUCGCGUACCCGGGACGUUUCAAUGACUGGAUUACGCGUAUACUGCUAGUCUGCUGCUCUAUGCGUAGUUGCGCACCUGGGAGGGGGCCUCGGGGUGUCGGGUGCCCGGGAUGUGGCCGCCCCGCUCGCCCCCCCUCAGGGCCGGGUAGUAACCUUUUUUUUAUUUUUUGAGGGCAGGGCCUCUGCAGAGUAGACGGGAAAUUCAUUAAAACGGCCGCUACAAAUUUAAAAACGGAGCUAGACACGAUACACGUUGCCGUGCAAUAAGCAAUACGGUGGCUAGGCUGUGUGUAGGCCUAGCCUGGAGCGGCUGAGCCUACACUAGUGGCCGGCGGGCAGGUCUCCACGACUCUACUAGACGUGCCACGUUCAUGGGGGCAAUGCACGAUCCUCUGCAACCGCGGAGUACUACGCGAGGCAACAAAUCGUAGCGACGGGACGCGUCGACUAUUGUUGCUGUAGUAGUGGACUACUGUUGUAGUAGGCAGCGUAGCAGUGUGCGUGCGCAAUGCUGUUGCUAUUUGCAAUAAUUUCGGCCCAUGCCGAGUGCCGGCGACUUGCCCGCCGCCAGGAGGCCCCCAGUAGUUGGUCGGUUAGCUUCUGGGCCGCGUCCACACGGCCUUCGCCGAAACUCUCUCCGCGCGCAGCCCAUCCGCGAGAAUGUUGAUGAGGAGGAGAAAGAAAGCAGCUGGGGCCGUGGGCCUCGCGACUCGUCGUGAUCGAUCCACGGCUACCCUGCCAUGGAUCUGGCCACCUCUCAGCACUCUGCCGCCGGCCGCCGCCGCCGUGUUCGGCGUCCGGGAUUCCCACGGACUGUUUGGCACGGCGCCCACCCCGGCGCGCGAGGGCGGAGUGCGCUGCGAUGGACCUUUUGAUCCGUCGCUCGGGACAGCAUGUCAGAUCACCGGACGCUCUCGUCGUGCACGUCCAAUUUUCUUUUCUUUUUUUUUAAAAAAAUCCGGCGGCCUCCUCCGAUCCUUUCCUUUUUCUCCACACACCUCUGAUGCCUUUUGUGGACGGUGCCUCAUUGGCUUGACAAGGGAUCAGCCGAUCAGGACAGGAUCCGAUCGGAUGAUGCAACGGCCAUCCACCAACAGCGAAAAGCGCAGACACAUCGACCGGCCCAGCGUAUCGCGCGCGCUUUAGAAUUUCACCAAAUCCUCCUACCGCAGACGCAGAAAAAUACGCUAGAGAUCGUUCGACGUGAUGGAUUCUCUCCGUGUCAAUUCCUCUUUUUGCAAAAGUCAGCCGACCGGACGCAUCUUCAUUAGCGACUGAGGUAUUAUGAAUUUCCAAAAAAGAAAAAAAAGUGUGUUUUCAUCCCUCAAGUAUUGCAAAAGUGUGGUAUUCAUUCCCAUAUUUCAUUUGGUGCAAAUCAACCGCUUAAUUAACUAAACUGGUCCAUUUAUCAUCCCCACCCUGUAGUUUACUGACGGUUUAUGCAACGUAAUCAUUUGAUUAAUCAAUAAUCACAAUCACUGCUCAGCGAUGUAGUAUGUUGAGUCAAAAAUAUAAAGCUCACAAAAAAUUUCAGUAAAUCCUCUAAAUUGAUACUCCAUAAUUUUUUUUAAAAAAUAAUGGAACCAAUUCAUACUCAAGUAUUAUAGAGAUUGAUUCAAUAUAAGAUGUGGCUAAGCAAUGAUUAGCAAGAUGAUUGCAUGGUCCAAACUGCUAUUAUAUGAUGUUUAGUCAUUGUUAAACUAAUGUGGGAUGAUAAAUGCUCCAAUUUAGAUAGUUAAGAGGUUGAUUUGAACCAAAUGAAACAUGGGGAUGAUUGUCACCCUUUUACAAUCAUCCCCUCCCGUUUCAUCAAAAAACAAUACUUGAGGGGUGAAAAAUACAAUUUUUCAAAAAAAAAAAGUAUUUUGACCAUGGACCGUAUCAUGGAUGAUUGUCUAAGUGAUACACACACGAUCGGAGUAAACACAAAAGAUAAUAGCUUUAUUAGUAGGGUGGCUGCUCUUUUUGGGCCAUACGCCAUAUGAAUAUAUGGUCAUGUCCAGAAUAUAUUUCUUUUGAUAAAUACACGCCUCCUAUACUCCAAUAAUUUAGGUGCCUAAAAUUUCCGAUGACUUCUGCAAUGUCGCAUAGGUUGUUUCUCGACGUUUCAACCUAUAAUACCCGAUGUUGCAAUGUGUCACCUGAAAAGUUGUUAAAUUCACACAUGUACUGGAAAUAAUGACACUCUAAUAAAAAAUAGGAAAAAUUUCAAAUUACUACCCUCAAGAAUAGCUAAAGUCCGGAUAACCGUCUAAACUAUUUUUUGAAUUUACACCCUAAACUAUGACAUUUAGUUCAAUUUAUCCUUAAAAUAAUUUGUCUUUUUAUGGGACUCUAGCGUAGUGGUUAGAGCACCUGGUAGCAUCCAUCAGGUCUGGAUUCAACUCCAUGUGGGAGCUAAACAGAGCUUAGAAUAAAAAAAGUAAAAAAAUAGGUAGGGGCUUCCCUACUGACUUCGAUAAAAAAAACAUAAUUUGUCUUUUUAUUUCUCCAUACACAAGUUGAACUUGAAUAUUAAAUUUAAUAGAGCGGUAGUGAACAUCACAAUGUAUGUCAAAAAAUAUAUUAUAAAUUUUCAUCAUUAUUUUUAUGUAAUUUUGCAUCAAGGAUUAAUUUAUUAUUAUUAUCAUUAUAUCAUACCCUAUCAAAAUAAUUAUUACAAAACAUGAUGUAUUUUUCAAAUCGAACGAAAUGGCAUAUUUUAGGUGGUAAAUUGGAUCAAGAAAUAUAUUUGAGGGAAGUAAUUUGGAUCUUUACCCCCAAAAAAUUUAUCUAUAACCUUCUUUAUUUACACAUGCAUUUUUCAAAGGCACAUAUUGGUAAAGAUACCGGAGAUCAUUGCAAAAACAGCCCGAGCGAGAAGACAUUAUGAUGUCAUGCUAUGUAACGGAGGUAGUGGCUCUUGGAGCUCUUCACCAAGAAUUGGUGCCAAUUCUAUCAUACUAGGUUGGUAUUGUUGUCCGCGUCUUGCUAUAUUACUACCCUCAUUAAAUUUUUAGACUCUUAAAUGAUGUUAUAAUUGAGUAUGUAUUAAUUAUUACGAGGCAAAAAAAAUCUUUUCCUUUAUUUUAAUGAAAAAAUAUCUCAAUAUAUCUUCGCAUAUAUAGAGUUCACCAUUGUUGCCUGGACAAACACUUGCGGCCAUCUAAAUAGUUCGGCUACCGACAGUCUAGGCCGGUAGGCCCUAGAGCUUGAGGAAAUCAAAACCAAACAGUGCAUUUCGUUCUUGUCUGUCGUCGAAUGUCUAUAGCUUCACAGGAAGCAACAUGCUUGACGAUAGUUACACACAGGACUAGCAGCUUGAUUAGACAAUUGGAAUUGGAAUCAUUAUUGUGCACUACUGCACUCCUUUGAGCGAGCGGCGGCUACGUGCAAGGAACUUGGAAAAACGUAUGGAAUGAACACGGCAACAAAGACACACCAGCUGAUGUCCUUAUCUUUUGGGAAAAGAAAGAGCAUGCUUUUCUUGACCGACAUAAAAUAUAUUGGAGUAGGGUCUGUUGAAUGUGGUCGGGAUCGGCAUCACUCAAAGGGAUGACUUCUGCUCUAUACAUUGCAUAUGCCCUUAUUAAGUCAAGUGUGAUCUUCUGGCCAUUACGUAGGGCAACAUCAAUGUAUCUUUAAAACAAAGACAACAUCAAUGUAUUUGAACCAAGUCGUCUAUACGAGUGCACGCCGUGCAAGUGUUCUUUACCUAUUACAAUUGACACAAUAUAUUUAAUAUCUAUAUAAACUAUAGACGUGGAACUCAUUAGAAAAUAAGGACAUACCUGCAUCUAAUAAUAGCAAUGACUUAGGAUCUAUUUGGUUCUCGACUAGAACUUGCCAAAAGUCGUUACACCUGACACCGCCUAACUUUAGCUGGUGUUUGGUUCCCGACGCACUUGCGGCGUGCUGUGCAUGCUUGGGCAUCAUCUUAGUUCAUUUGCUCGCCGAAUCUCGCCAAAAUGCUGGUGCCGAUUUUGUCCACCGCAGAUAUGCACUACUAGAAAUAUGAGCAUUCGUUCUUAACUUUUCAUCUAGUACCAAGGUACUAAAUAGCAUUCGUAGUGCUCGCAAUAGCGGUCCAAGAUAGCAUGUUUGGACUUAGCGGCCGCUAUUAUCCGCUAUUGACUGCUGUUGCGGCCGCUAUUGCUAAUGUUAAGCCGCUAUUCAUUACAUUUAUGGUUCAAGUGACAUAUGAAUAUGAAUUAAAUGGUAAUAAUCAUGUUUAAAAUGAUUAUUUAGGUAAUGAUGAAGAAUUAUGGGAUGAUAAAUGAAUUUUUUAUUCAUUAGUAUGAGAAUUUAAUGUUAAUAUAUAUCCAUACAUCUUAAUUAUAUCUAUUUAUUUGUGAUUCUUACCAUGAAAUGUAAUGGCUAACUUAAAUACUUUAACUUUUUAAAGUAAACUAGAUGUUAAUAUUCAUAUAUGCUCUAAAUUUGUGACUAUUUUUUGAAUUCCGCUAUUUGGACUUAGUGUCUGCUAUAGCACCCGCUAUCCACGAUCUGCUGCAAUGGCACUAAUCCGCUACCAUAUUGCUAAACACUAUUUAUACUGGGUAGAAAUUUUCGGUCCUCGCAGGCCUUUUAGUACCGGGCAAUAGCACCAGUACCGUGUGGAGUACCAUCUAGUACCGAUCAAUAAUACCGAUCGGUACUAAAUGAGGGCAAGCGGUACCGGUCAGUCGCUCGGUACUAAAAGGGUUAGGUUAAUGACCGAUACUAAAUGUCACUUCCCAAUAGUGAUAGUGCGGCCGUAAAGUCAUGUGGCUACCUUGGUAACGAAGCAAACGUACCCUUAAGCAGAGAGAGAGGGGGAGGGAGUGAUAAGGAAAGAUGGAUAAUAUGAUAUUGUGUUCCUUAUGGCCAUCUCAUAUGGCAAAUGGCUAUGUUUGCGAUUAAUGCUCUAAGAACUGCUUUCUGCAAUGGCUGUGAACUUCCUUAUAGACCAACUUGUGAUUGUGUUUUACGCAUUGUGGGUACUGGGUUCUCUACUUCUCUUAGUGAUACAUCGCUGAGGAUUGGCCAGAAUGAUUUAUAUAUAUAUAUAUCCCAAUAUGUAGUUUUCUUCGUAUAACCUCGAUCUAAAGCCUAAUGUUAAAACCCCCCCUACCCAUGGCCAUCAGCAACAGAUUCCAUUUCAACGACGUUUUCUCGUAACAUAGGACACAAGAAAAUAAAGGAGCUAGAUGAGCCAUGUGAUACCGUCCCAGUCCAGUCCCUGCAGCAAAUUUGGAGAACAUUCCCUUGUCCUCCCCACGGGAGAAAGGUCCCAAGCGCUACGGGCCAUGAUAGCCAUUGCACGCGUUGCCAGCAACCAUCCAACCCAAUCCAAUAUCCAUCCAUCGGCCCUGCUCCUGCUACAGCGGCGCACCUGCACCUUCAACCAAAGCCAUCAGCAGGAUCCCUAGCUAGGGAUGCACCUUUCCCUGUCGUACAGCCAUGGCCAUUCGUUAGCCAUUGCAGGUAGCUCAUCUCGACCACUCCACACUAGUCAAAAGAUGUGAGCUAACCUGCAUUAAACAAUAUAAACCGGGGUGGUUUAGCUUGACAGCAUGAGUACUUAACAAUGCCAUGCGUAACGGUUUGGAGCAGACAAGGCCUAGUGUUGCAGGUCAGGGAUGUGGAUGCUUUAGUGAGCAAAGGGUUUUGUUGCAUGUGUGUAUCUAGAUCUGUUGAUCUCUGUCUCUGAUGGUGAAGUAAACUAAUCUCACUAAUAUAAUGGCUUUUAAAUUACAGCGUCUCUGGACACCGAACAUGGUACAGUUAAAAAUGUGUUAAUACAAGUUGUUAGUAUCAAACUUCAACUGUGUACAGUACACCCAUGACUAGCUCCAUGAGCAUGCGGGGUUCAGUAGACCUACCAUGAGCACGUACACAUAAUAUGUCCAGAUAAAGAUUCACUCGCCCAUGACCACACCAAGUCACUGUCAGUGGGUCCUACUAAGCCCCGGCCCCACCAGUAAGGAUCUUCUUGGUAUUGGUACCAACAGAAAGCCUGCCGUAAAGCAUAACAUAGCAACAAACAAUACACAUGCAUACCCUACAUUGGAGAGGAAUGCAUUAUCCUAUCCUAUGCCUGGUAUGCUGAGGUUUUUGGUGUAGCGAGAGAGGAGAGAAUCUGGAGCCCGGCCCGGCCAAGUGCUCCAGACAAAAUCCACUUCACCGGUCAGAGCCAUCAACUUUAGUACUUUACAGACCGUCUACACCAACCCUCCCUUUCGUUAAUCGUUACAUCCAUCCCGCGUGUGGAAGUGGCCGGCGUUGGCCCUGCACUCCUGCAGCCUGAGCCACCGCAAAGGUUGGAGAAGAAGAUGGCGAUGCCCCCUUGCCAUUUCCUCCAUGUAGUCUCCGUCGUCGUCUCCAACUCUCCAUGGCCAUGGCUCAGAUCACAGUGCGUGACAGCAUACCCCUAUAGCACACUCGCCAUCGAUCGAGGUAGAGCCCCUGCAGGGUGGAGAUGGAUCGGAGCUUUUCACCAUCACGAGAGAGAGGAAGAGGAGAGGUCAGAGGUACGUGCGCGUGCGCCGUAGCUUGCAGCUAGGGAAGCUCAGGUUGAGACAUGCUUUAGCACGCCAUUGGCUGCUUUGGGUGGUGCUGCUGCCUGCCGUGGCUUUAGGCUUAGCUAGCUAGCCAUUAGGCCAGCACUUUAGAUGCAAUAUAAAACUAACUUGCAUCAAAAGGUUCAUCCUUUAACCCCCUUGGGAAGUAUUCUAGCUGCUGUCUUGUGCUCCAUGUCCUUUGCUCUUUCAGUCUCUUCCUCCUUUGCAGGCCAGUGCGCGACAGUACUUUCUGGUGAGCAGGAGAGGAGCAAGUGGCCAUGGAGUUGUUGUGCGUACAUGUUCUGGAGUGGUGUAGAGAUAGACAUCUCGCCCCUCUAUCCCUCUAUAAAUCCACCUUCUGCUCUUUCUUCUACCUCCAUCCAUCACACCUCUGCACUGUUCUUCCUCUUCCCUCUCCCUAACCCUAGCUUUCUAGCUCCCUCUAGCAGUCCUCUUGUGUAUUCGUUCCUGCUUAUGUGCAUGCCCAUCAAGCUCUAGUUUUGUUUCUAGCAUUAUAUUGCUCCAGAUGGAAUACCAUUUUUUUUGUUCUCUUUGCUCGAUCUUUAUUGCACAGUCAUGUGAAUGAGUGACAGAGAUGGUACAUAUGUUUGAUCAAAUUGAGAUUGUGUGUGCCUGGCUCCCUGUAUGCCACACAUGUAGCCCAACCCGUGGUGUGGUUGCCUGCUGUGGGUGGCGUGCAAGGGGCCAAGCAUGCAUUUUGUGUUCGAUUCUUCUGUCAGUUUUUAUCUCUACCAUAUUCUUCAUGUGUUCACGUUUCACACGCCCUAGUGUCCUUUCAUUUUGUUUGUUCUUGCAGGUGCCUAUCGAAGAAGGGCUGAUGUGCACUUCUUCUUCAGUUUUCCGAUCCUGUCAAGUUACUCAACUAGCCGCUUGCUCCGAAAAAUCAGUGAGGUUAUCCACUUGUGAUUUUUGUUUUUGGUAUGCAGCACAUGACUGAUUCUUGUGCACGUCUUGGGUAGAUAUUUAUGCUCCCUAAAUUCUUGAAAACAACCAUAGUGAAGAGUCUUGAAUUCCUGGUUUUGUUUGAGUAGAUUGAAGGGAAUUAAUGCAUUGUUCUUUUGAUCUGGUCAUGCUUGGAUUUGAGUUGUGUCCUAUUGUUUCUUUCUAUAUGCGCGGUUUUCCUACCUGACAAUCUUUUGUACUUUACUUCCUGUGUGUUCUGAGGCACAUGUGCGCCGAGUGCACAACGUUUUCUAGGAAAAUUUCCACUUUUCCUUUUUUAAAUGUAAAUUUUCAUGCAUUUGGGAUUUAUGCUGCAAAUGGCAAACGCAUAACUGCAUAAGCAUGAGUCUCUUCUUGCUAGACUACGUGAACCAAGAAAUCCGGUUAAUGGUUUCUGCAUUUUCGCUCAUUUCUUUCCUCACAUGUUUUCCAGGACAACCCAUUCUUUACAUUGUAUUUCAAUAAUUAGUCUUUGAAUCCAGUGGCCGUAUCAUAUGCUUAGCAAGUCUAAUCUAUAGCACUACCUCCGGUAAGAUAUACAUUUUGACAUUUCAAAUAACAAGGAGUUUAUAGAUCAAAUUAGCUGUCCAAAAUUAUGUCAUCUAAUUUUCUAACCAAAAUGAUGUCCAAAAUACGUAAGGAUCCGGCAAGAGCUGCUUCUUGCUUGAUCAUUUGUUUUUUUUUUGCAAAAUAAGGUUAAUUUGAAUGUGACAUAUAUAAAGCAUAUAUUCCGUGCCCCAUACACGUACGCACAUAUAAGGCUUGAAGUGAUUAAGCAGCAAGUUAAUUAAUUGACAGCAGGAAGCAACGGGUCAUGAAGUAUUUAUAUACUAUCGUUUACGCUUAAUCGCUUAUUUCUGUUUAAUUACUAGUAGUAGGUAGAGACCGGCGGAUGUAUGCUGGCCUGGUGCUGCGCAUUGUUCAUAUGUAGAGCAGUUCGAUCUACUGAACUGAUUAGAUGCAAUAUGGGCGUUGGCAUUAUUCAUUUUGUACCAUGAAUAGAUGUUCUUUUGUGUUUCCAUGAAUUGUUGCUUCAUAGUUAUUAUUAGGAGUAGGCCUUUUACAAUAUAGCUUAUCAACAAGCACCAUCGAUUUGCUGUCGCCAAAUGCCCAUGGUGAUCAAGGACACGCAGGGAUUAACAUGGGAUCAGCAAUGACUGCUUGUCGUUUUUGUUCUAGAAACCAAUUUGGUUUGUCAUUGUGAUAUUUUUUUUUCUUUUGAUGAAAUUAUCAUUGCAAAUGUUGCAAGGUUGUAAGAGUAGCUGAGCAACCUUAAUCUCGCAUUGCAUGCUCCUCAUCUGAGUAUCUGACAGCACCAGCGCGCGCCCAUGCUCUCAGUUUUGUAUGUGCUGAGGGCUUGCAUUGGGACCCACUUGACAGAGAGACCGUAUCCAAGCUUAACACCCGUUGGGAGGCCGACCAGGACGACUCGAUCAGAUCAUAUCGAAGUUGUGUAUCAAGCUGCGUUCUGCAUAACUAACCAACCAGAGUAACAGCUCCAUGUUCGAUCAGCACCAGUACUGCAUCACAAGCAACAGAUAGCUAGGGCACCAGUCCACCACCAUGAUCUGUUGAUGAUGGUCACCAACUCACCAUGGUAUCGCCAGGGCCCACCUGCACCAUCUCACUCUCAUCAUCAUCUACGUGUUUGCUCCUGCCUCCAUGGCCAGCCAGCCAGCAGCCAUUGUUGCGCUGCCUGGACCACCACUCGAGCAGGAGCAGUUCUUCAGUGGCAGAGCUACUAAAGCUGCAGUUCUAUGAGCAAGAACGCAUGCAGGGAUCACUGAUCAGCGACCGCAUCGUCCACAAGGACUUCGCCAUGAUUUGUUGGUGUCUGUGUUGGAGUCCUCAGUGAUUGGAGCGAGCACCUGGGUCCCCCCUCUUGCAUAAUUGUAGUGAUGGAGACGGCGUGGCAGCUGCCCGGCCUCUGCUUGGAUGAGCACCUGCGGCGAUGUUGGACCCCUAGAGACAACACAUCAGUGUCCCAGUUAUCCAAAGUGAUACCACACUGAACCCUUGCUGGAAGUAACUGUCACAGUGUCCCGGAAGCAGGAGCAAGAUAACUGACCCACUGGCCACAAGAUGUGGCUGUUGGAUCACAUUAUUGUUAAUCAUUACAAUUUACAAGCUAGCAGCCCAGCAAGAAUAUGCCUUGGAAUUUGCAGUAAUUCUGGAUUACAGGCUAUGUAUGGUUUAUACUGACAAAGACUUCAGACAUUUCACCAGGUUAUAUACUUGCAAAUUUGUGUAUCACCCAAAAACAGGCACCGCCAGGUUGCACAAUGAAAAUGUGUCAUCAAUCCAAUAUUGUACAUUCAGAAGUUUUUUCCCCUCAUAUGUACUGAUUUGGCUCAACAAUGAUGUUCAGAACUUCAGACUACAAAUGAAGCAAUUACAUCUAUACAUGAAAAAUGAAACCGGCUGGUAAACUUCUGGACAAGGCGUCCACCUAUGCUACUCUGUCUACAUGUGUUUCAUAUUGCGACCAACUCACUUCACUAACAAUCUGUUUCUUCACAGACGAAUGGAUUACUCACGAUCCGAUACCCCGGUGGAUAUCAUGGAGACCUGUCCAGUGGAUAUCAUGGAGGCUUGCGUUGUCUCAUUGGACAGCAGAGGAGAAGAGUGUGCCAUCAGGGAGGAUAGGAAUGUGGACGACGUCGCGAUGUCGUUUGGUUUCCUCAUGCUCCUGACCUUGAGAUCCAUGAAGUCGCUAAUUAUAGCAGGCUUGCUGAUCUUCUCUGACUCAACAUCCUUUUCACCCGUAAGCAUGGUGAUGACCUUUGACAUGUCAGGUCGGUGUCUUGUGACAUCUUGUGUACACAAGAGCCCAAUUUUCAGGAACCUGCAAGCCUGUGUGACGUCCAAAUCAUCGCCCAAAGAGCUGUCUAUGAUUUUCUCCAGAUUUCCCUGCUCAUAAUAAAUCCAUGUCUGCAAGAGGAGAACCCCAUUGGUGAUCUCUGGGAACUGUAGCAGUAAAGAACAAAAGCCUCAAUUUAGAACAUUUGCUCCCCUAGCUAUCAUGCGAUGAGUUUUCAGGAAAAAGUAGCAAAGAAAUUUCUUGGUGGUCCAUAGCAACAGGUUCUAAGCAUGUGAUUUGGUCAUACUGUACUAAAUCUGACAACAGGAAAUUUGACAUGCAAUUUUUUCUAUGAUUCUCGAGUUCUCUUACAGGAAACAAUGACUUGCACACACCAAAAUAUUGCAUCAACAUCAUACACAUUUUCAGAGAAUAUAAAAUAGUGUUUAAUUAAUGAUGGCAAAAGCAACUUCUACUAUGCAAGCCACAAUGGAAAGAUAUGUCAAAUGUAACCUAGCAUUUCCUCUAACCUUUUCAAGGAGUAUCUGGUCCUCAUAUGCUAAUCUUGUAUCGCUGUUGGAUCUCCCGCUAACUAUUUCUAGAAGAAGAACACCAAAACUGUAAACAUCUGAUUUGCGUGUCACUUGUCCUCGAAUAGCAUAUUCGGGAGCCAAAUAGCCUCUGUCAAUCAAAACUGAAGUAAGGAAAGCUGAAAAGGUAUCCAUAGGCUAUAAAUAUAAUUUACAAAUAAUAUCAUUAAAAAAAAUUAUAAAUGUUGCUGUUUCACGGAACUUUCUGGAUAUAAAUUAAGAUUUAACAAGGACUACCCAACUAUGUUGAUAGGAAUUGUACAAGAACGAGCUUCUGUAGGCAGUCAAGAAAAAAAGGGGGGAGAAACUGAAAAAAUAAAGUAGAACGUUUUACUUACAGUGUUCCUGCAACCCUUGUGCUAACAUGUGUUGCAUUUGGUGGAAGAAGCUUUGCUAGACCAAAAUCAGAGAUUUUUGGGGUAAGAUCCCUAUCAAGAAGUAUAUUGCUUGCUUUGAUGUCUCGAUGAACAAUGUGGGGAUUUACACCGUGAUGGAGGUAUGCUAGCCCACGUGCAAUGCCAAGGCAAAUAUUUACUCGAGUUUUCCAAUUGAACUGGAUAUUGCUGUGGUUGGAACCUGAACAAUGAAAAGUUUUAAGAAAGUGUUAGGACAAAUAUGAUAUAUCUAAAAAUUGUCAUAGUUGACUUAUUAAAUUAUUGUUGUGACUAUGUAAUAUCCAUGUAUUAUUUAGCUCAAAUAUAUAAGAAUAUUUACCAUGACGUACCUAGGAGCGUUUGUGAAAGGCUAUUAUUUUCAAGAUGAUUGUAAACUAGGAUUCUUUGAUCUCCUUCCGCACAAUACCCAUAAAGCUUCACAAGAUUAUCAUGUGAGAUGUCGGAAAUUGCCACAAGUUCAUUCUGAAACUCCCUUACUCCUUGUCUUGACUCUGACGAAAGGACCUUGACGGCAAUAAUUGUUCCAUUCUUGAGCUGUCCCUGCACCAUUUAGUUGUUGUUGAAUGUCAAACACGUCUACAUUAGUAACAACAUCAGUGGCUUCUUUGUUGAAGGUUAUGCAUAUUACCUUGUAAACUGAACCAAAACCACCCUCACCAAUCUUGUUCGAUUUGUUAAAGUUUCCUGUGGCCCUUACUAACUCUCUAUAGGUGUAUUUUUUUAUACUUGGACCACCAGGGACGUCUACAUGAGCAGGGUUAAAUCACAAUAAGGAACCAAACAGGGUAGGGGAAAGUAUAUCAGAAUAUGUAAACAGGGAUAUUUCAGACUGUACCCCACGAAUGAGAGCUCUACCUUCAUUAUGAUUGGAACUUGGUUGGCACGUUGUCCUUCUCUUCUUGCAGAAGAUAGAGAAACAACUCAUUUGAGAUUCUCAAAAUAUUAUAUCUGCCGUAGUGCUAUCAGCUCGAUAACUUCAGCUUGCACUUAUGAUAUCAACAGAAGCAUUUUACUGCUGCUCAUUGACUUAUAUCAUGUCCUGAAGAGAGAGAAUGUCAACUACUGUUACCUCUAAAGAAAGUAUACUGGAUGCAUAUCGUUUUGAAGUUUAAAACAUACAAUCUAUGGCUAACAGUUUUGGUGAAGGUUAUCCAACCCACAUUUCUGGAUGCAGUACAUAAGUUACAGUAGCAGUGAAUUCUAUAAUAAACUGAUAAAAAGAAAGCGAACACACAUUCUGCUUGCAAUUCCUAACGGUCAUUGUUUGCUUAGAAUUCAACCAGGCAAGCAACUAAUGCACUUCAAGCUUACAAGUAGCAUAUGUGAGAAGUUAGCGCAAGCAUGGAGUUUUGAUAACUGCACAAUUACUUCGUACAAGUGGGCAGGUGAGAGUGAGACUAAACUAUCUUAGACUCAGAAAUCAGGAACAAAAUAAAAAUUAGACUAAGUCCACUAUAAUUAGUAUACAUUUAUUCAGAGCAAAGCCAUCAUUGGGCAGGCAUGGAUCGCGUAUCCAUGACUGUAUAUCUAUCCAACGCACCCAACUAAUUUAUUUCGGAGGAACUCUGAUAUACGUCUGUCAUCACAAACUGAUGUUUGUCAUCUAACUAACCCUGGCACCACUAAAUUUUAGUCCAUGACUAGACGACCCAACCGAUCCCGCAACAAAUAAUUUUAGUGCACAGUCACGCGUAACCAAUCACAACCAAUCUCCCAGAAGUCCAUCAUCCAUCAUCAGCAGAGCUCGCAUCUUUCCACAUUUAUCACGACUCUUGAGCUAUCGAGGCUUUGUAAAGCAGCGUCGGGAAAUCGCCCGUAGGACAUGAUCAAGAACAGAAGUCGUUUCCAUUCGGAGCUUCAUUUCACAAGCAAUUCACAAACCUUGAUCAAUCAAGAAAGGAAGCACCAAAGCAGCCUACUUCGUUAAGGAAGGCUAAGCAGACUACAACACCAAUCCACUAAUUCCUUUUCCUGGUGAACAGGGAGGGAAGGCAGGAACCAGGAACACCAACAAGGGACCAAUAGCACGAACAAAAAUCCAACCUUGAACUUUCCUAUACAUAUAUUCAGAGAAACCAACCAACCAGACUCACCUGAACCGCCGCCGCCGUGACCCGGGAGGAUGAACCGAAUCCACUCCAAUCCAGCCGCCGCGACAAGCCUCCCAGCGAGUCAAACAACGCGAGGCAAGAGCACACCCGCGCCCUUAUCAAUUACCCCCGCCCGCAGCAGGGAACGCACCAAGAACCGCCUCCUCCCGAAGGCUCGCCGAAGCCUCUGCCUGCUGCCUUUCCCCCCGAGUGCCGUGCCGCCACGGGGCGCCGGGAGCCCGGGACGCAGCAGCGGCGAGCUUUCGCGAGGGAGGGAGGAGACGGGGCGGCGGGUUGGGUUGGGUUGGGGGCGCGCGGACUGUGGACUCGUGGUGGGGGGUGGCUCCAAGUGGCGUGCCGAGUAUUUGACUUCUCCAAGAGGGGGAGGGGGGAGGAAGAGCAGAGGAGACCGGGCGCCUCGGCUUUGAAAGGGAGACGAGAAAGAAAGAAUGGCGGGUCAAACCGUUGACCACGUGGGCGUGUAAACUGAGCUGGGCCGGGCCCGGCCGCGGCGCAGCCGUGUGGGCCGUCGUGGUUUGGGUGGGCCCGUCGGGUUCGACGCGGCAGCAGGCGAGCCCGGCGGGGCUACAGAGACCGGUCGGGGUCGGGUGGGUGGUCCGGUGACCGGAGGUGGUUGGGGUCGCGGUUGAACCGGGUCAAUUGAAUGGACCGGGCCAGCGUUCGAGGCUGCUGGCUGGAUUGGCUUGUAGGUGCGUCAUGUUGUGACGUGUCCGUGUGGCCGUGUCCGUGCGUGCAGGACAGCACCUGCACUGCAUGUGAACCUCUGUUAUUGGAAAAGGAGCCCGUUCUUUUCUAAAUGAAGGAAAAAAGUUCUGACGGUCGGUUGAAAACUUGAAAUGGUCCGUGUUGAAUUCAUAAACUGAUGAAUGGUGAUGCGCUUUCUUUCAGGAGAGUCAGGCCAGGUUCCGUUUACUUUCGUUCAUUCUGUGUUUGCUUGCUGCAGAGGCUUUUUCAUGGACAAAUCGUCUGUGAAUUGACCUGUUCAGAGUUUAGAACUUCAGACGUUCCGAGUAAUGUACAAGUAUAUCGUGUCAAGGUCCUUGUGACAAAAAAAGGGUACUAUUGCAAAAGGUCCUUCAAAUACACUUCAAUUUUGGUCCUCAAAUUGUUUCGUUUUUUUAUAUGUAAAAAUAGACCUUUUCGAUUUUUGCCAAUAAAUGACGAGUAAAAAACUUGUAUAGCUUAAAGAAAUACAAAAUGCGAGGAGAACCUCUUUUCUUUUUGAAGAAAAUGCAAGGAAAACUAAAGAAUUUCAAAGAACACGAAAUGAUCUCUAGCCCGAGACGGGCCAGGAGUGGUAACUGGGCUACUUCCUUGGACGUGGGCCUCGUCGUGAUGGCACAGCAACGGGCGCGGGCCGUCCCCGUUAGGCGCAGCGGUCCACCUCACACUUUGUUUGAUGGGACAACCUGAAAGGCCAAUCAGGCCAUCACGCCAAGUUUCACCCGCGGGCCAGGCCCAGCUUAGCCAUGCUCUCUCUCGCUUCUCGCAGCGCCGCCGUUCGGUGGGAGGCUCGCUUCCGUGUGCCGCGGCGCCGCCACCUUCGUCGUUCGCCCCGGCCAGCGAAUCAGAUCUCACGUGUUGCCGCGGCGGCGGCCGGCGUGUGCUCAACUGCUUGGCGCGGUGGGCCGGCGGCCGCACGAGCCCAACGUGUUUCAGGGCCUUUUCCUUCCCCCUUGUCAUCUCAAUUUUCAGAGUUCCAUUCCAUGGUCAUCAGUUUUCAGAGUUCCAUUCGGGAUGGUCAUGCACGACAGAAGAAUCCAAAUAGGAGAACCAAGAAAUCGACAGCAAGUGACCAACAACAAGAUAUGGCACUCAUGGUGUGCAACAAGUCAGUCUUGUGCAUCUCAGACGGACAAAACCGUUCAACAAGCCACAUGAUCUGUUUCUUUAGACCAUUAUACAGCAGCAGGAAAAUUCUUCGACAAGUGAUGGUAUUAUUGCUACACUAAGCAUGACCUGGGAGCUAAGUUGAGAAAGUUGAGAGGCUGGCUGAUAGUCUACAUGAGUUGGACAUCCAAAAAAGUCACAGAAAUGUGAGGCGAUAUGCUCCACCGACUGCAACCCUGUCUACAGGUUUCGAUCUUUCCAUGGCGGAAAGCCGGUCAAGGUUGGGAAAUGGCGAUAUCCGGGAUCCGGAUCCGGGGCCCAGCUGAAGAUCUGAAAGCGAUAGAGGAAUCACCAAAGAAGCUGAUGGGGUGGUUCAGCCAGGGGUAGAAGAAGAUGCCCAUAUCUUUGAAAAGAAAUGGGUGAGCUGUGCCUGUGUGUGUCACACUGCCACAACACUCCACAUGCUUCCACUCAAAACUUGUCAAAAUCCACAACCAAACUAGACCAGAUCAGACCAGACCAAUCCGCGACACGUCGGCACGCCAGAAGGCGCGGCAGCCCGGGGGAUCAGGACAGGGACGAUGAAUUUGUGAUGGUGGAUUUGUGAUGGCGAGAGUGAGAGAAGGCAUCACAUUCAGCUCCGGAUGCACCACUGACCUCAAAAAAGGGUGGUCAUCUUUUUUCUCACCAUUUGUUCUUCAAUGGGCAGGCACCCGGGUUUCUGUCAGAUAGGGACCCAGAACCCACAUGAGAGGGCCGGUCAGUGUCUCUGAAACUCAUUGUCUGCACGAAGUGGUGCCAAGUUAUGCAAGCACAAAGGUUCAGGUGAAUUCCCUCUUGGAUCUAUCUGUCUAUGAGCUUUCAAGGAUCAUACCGAACUGCUUUUUACUGGAAAUAGCUCUAGUAAUUAUCAUGACAGCAAAGGUAAUAUUGCACUGGGUGAAGAAAUUGCAUCUCUCAUUGCUAAGUUGGAAGUGCGUCUAUAGGUUUUACAUGUGUAUAAGCAAAACAAAAAAAAAAAAAAAAAGGAGAGGAUUAGCACACUAGUCACUGGUCUGAGUUCUAUGAGAUGUCCCUAACUUCCAUUUGAGACAUUUUUACAAUUACAACACGGACCGUGCUGCAUUUGUGCCAGCAAGUGCAGAACGAGUAGAUGCACUAAAUUAGUGGUAUUAGUGUUCCAGGGAACUAAGUGCCAGCAUGUAUACAAAAACAUAGUAGUUACUGCUAAGAGUCUAUAUCAUAUGACAUAAUCAUCAGAUGGCAUAGUAGAACAUCGGGCUACAUUGAUCUAUGUGCUUGGUUCCAAGCCACAAAACUAGGAAGAGCUGUGGGAACAUACAGUA